UACAGAGGUGGCAAGCGUUGUUCGGAAUUACUGGGCGUAAAGGGCGCGUAGGCGGUCUUUUAAGUCUUGUGUGAAAUCCCUCGGCUCAACUGAGGAACUGCACGGGAUACUGGAAGACUUGAGUUCGGGAGAGGGAAGCGGAAUUCCGGGUGUAGCGGUGAAAUGCGUAGAUAUCAGGAGGAACACCGGUGGCGAAAGCGGCUCUCUGGCCCGGUUCUGACGCUGAGGCGCGAAAGCGUGGGGAGCAAACAGG
rnacentral:rRNA from 1 species